rnacentral:rRNA from 1 species
CAAUAGCGUAUAUUAAAGUUGUUGCAGUUAAAAAGCUCGUAGUUGGAUUUCUGGAGGGAGCUACCGGCCCGUGUCCUCUGGAUGCGUUGGCUAGUGUGCCUCUCGCCAUACUUGUGGAAAGCCUUGCUGGUCUUCAUUGAUCGGCUUGGGGAUCUGCAUCAUUUACUGUGAAAAAAUUAGAGUGUUUAAAGCAGGCGUUUGCCUUGAAUACAUUAGCAUGGAAUAAUAAGAUAGGAUCUGGUUCUGUUUUAUUGGUUUGCAAACUGGAUAAUGAUUAACAGGGACAGUUGGGGGUAUUCAUAUUUAAUUGUCAGAGGUGAAAUUCUUGGAUUUAUGAAAGAUGAACAACUGCGAAAGCAUUUACCAAGGAUGUUUUCAUUAA